ensembl:misc_RNA 7SK 7SK RNA
GGCUAUGAGGACAAUCUGGCUACGACAUCUGUGACUCCACUGAUAGCCAAGGCUGACCUGGCCGGCUAGUCGGGUGUCUACUCCCUCACCAUUCCACGUGUGCCUGUCCUGAAGUUGUACACUCAGUCAAAAAGGACAACCUUCCAUGACACAGGAGGACCAUUCCAGCCAAGGGUUUACAUGUAGCUGUGCUCCCCAGCUAGAACCUCCAAACAAGCUCUCAGACAAUUUUACAUGUACAAAUACUUUUCAGUAUUUUCAUAUAGCAAAUAGGAAUACUGAAAAAUAAGGUUAAGACUUAAACUGCCUGUAUUU